CUCCCGUUGAAGCUGGAUUAUGUGAAAUUUUAUCUCCAUUUUUUCAAUAUCUACACAAACUUUGGGUUGACAGAUCAAUCACAUUCUGUUUCUUACAAGUUUAGGUGCAGUGAGAGGUUGGCAACAGUGUCAAGAAUUACCAUUUGAAUCUCUGAGUUUGGUUCAUACAUGCCUCAGGAAGUGGGAACUUAGAAGAUUCUCCAAGUGACUCAGGAAUGUUUGUUUGCAUUCUCCAUAACAGUCACUGGAUCCCUGGUGGGUCACUCAAUGGAGUGAAGAAUUUGAACUCUCAGCUAUUCUCCAACAAUCUCUUCACCAAAUACAGGACAAUCUUCUGUUCUCUGAUAGACAACUGACCAUCUCUGCCACACUGUGAUUAGUGGUGAGGUUAUGACAUUUGAGCUGCUGGGAGCCAUUAUGUCACCAUGAGUGAAGAGCCUGCCAACAGAGCCCAAACAAGGGAAAACAGAACUAAGAGACAGAGAAUACGAAGUCCUGAUGACAUGGUAUGAAGCCUUGGAUCCACCUAUUCCUAAAACUACUCUCUGGACUUUCAACUGCACAGUAAAUUCAAGUAGACAGUAAAUCAUCACUCCCUUAAAACAGUUUGAGAUAAACUUAAAGAAUCAUAAAUAAUAUCUUAGCUGCUGGAUCUUAAAGUAAAUCAUUUAAUUUCUGUAUAUUUCAGUUCCUUAUUCUGUAAAAUUAUACAUAAUUUGUGCUCUGCUAAAAGACUUUAUAGUCUGCUGCGUUAUUCUUUUCUUAUUUUGUCCAUAUUUCCUAUCCUAAUUUAUAUGUUCUCUAGUCCCAAUAUAUGUAUCUUUGCUUGCAUGAACAUGUGCAUGUAUUUAUGUAUUUAUUUUAUGGCUUUCCCGAAGACCACAGCAAAUCCUUUGUGGAAUGAGAUGAAGUAUAGCUAAAUAACCUACAUUUUCUAGCAACUUAUUUUAAAGUAGUCAUUGUAUCCAUUAUAUCUUUGUAUUGAUGUGAUGUUAUAUAUAAGACAUAUAUAUAUCUUAUGUAUAUGUUAUUUAUAUUAUCCUUGGAUACAAAAAUACAAUAAAACCUUGGUUAGAUAAUAAAACCUCAAUUAACUAGGAGGCUUCUAUCUGUGAUGACAGUCAAUCACUUGUUUCAUGUCCACUAAAUAGUGUCAUUUUGAUAGAUGAUUUAAGCAGGGGAACUAAUAUUUUAAAGCAUUACGUAAGCUUUGUUAUAGGUAAUUUGCAUAUGUUGUCCUAUUCAAUUCUCACAAAUCUUCCAAAAUUAUCUUAAUUUUGUAUAUUAUGGAAACCCU
rnacentral:lncRNA from 1 species